rnacentral:rRNA from 1 species
UACGAAGGGGGCUAGCGUUGCUCGGAAUCACUGGGCGUAAAGGGUGCGUAGGCGGGUUUUUAAGUCAGAGGUGAAAUCCUGGAGCUCAACUCCAGAACUGCCUUUGAUACUGAAGAUCUUGAGUUCGGGAGAGGUGAGUGGAACUGCGAGUGUAGAGGUGAAAUUCGUAGAUAUUCGGAAGAACACCAGUGGCGAAGGCGACUUACUGGACACAUAUUGACGCUGAGGUGCGAAAGCGUGGGGAGCAAACAGG